rnacentral:rRNA from 1 species
AGUGAACGCUGGCGGUAGGCCUAACACAUGCAAGUCGAACGGCAGCACAGGAGAGCUUGCUCUCUGGGUGGCGAGUGGCGGACGGGUGAGGAAUACAUCGGAAUCUACUCUGUCGUGGGGGAUAACGUAGGGAAACUUACGCUAAUACCGCAUACGACCCACGGGUGAAAGCAGGGGAUCUUCGGACCUUGCGCGAUUGAAUGAGCCGAUGUCGGAUUAGCUAGUUGGCGGGGUAAAGGCCCACCAAGGCGACGAGCCGUAGCUGGUCUGAGAGGAUGAUCAGCCACACUGGAACUGAGACACGGUCCAGACUCCUACGGGAGGCAGCAGUGGGGAAUAUUGGACAAUGGGCGCAAGCCUGAUCCAGCCAUACCGCGUGGGUGAAGAAGGCCUUCGGGUUGUAAAGCCCUUUUGUUGGGAAAGAAAUCCAGCUGGCUAAUACCCGGUUGGGAUGACGGUACCCAAAGAAUAAGCACCGGCUAACUUCGUGCCAGCCGCCGCGGUAA